rnacentral:lncRNA from 1 species
AAACAUUGGAAGAAAUGGGCUAGAAGAGGAAGCCCGUAGGUUCAGCCCUGGGGAAUGGAGCAUAAAAAGCCUGGGAAAAGGGUGCAGGAAGGACUUGCGGAAACAGCCGCUUGGCUUGCACAUCAGGAUCCCUGACCCCUGAGCCCAGGUACAGCCUCAGCAGGAAGCGACUCAGCAGUGGGGGUGGCCUCCUCAGGGAGGCUGUGGCUCCCUGCCCAGCACUUUGGACAGGAUGCUCCAGUCAGUGAGUGGCAAGACCAGCCCCCUCAUAAUAUAGUCAAGGGUAGAACCCAAUGGCUCAACACUGUGGGCCUAUAUACACGAUAUAUACAUUGUAUAUGCCAUAUAUGCUAUAUUUAUGCUAUACACUAUAUAUACACCUAUAUACUAUAUAUUGUGCAUAUACCAUAUACACACAUGUAUAUUAUAUAUAUACUACACACAUACUGUACACAUUGUAUAUGAAUUCCAUACAUACUAUAUGUGCUGUGUGCACUACUACAUAUACAAUGUAUAUACCAUAUAUAUUAUAUAUGUCAUAUAUACAGUAUAUAAACCUAUGUACUAUAUAGUGUAUAUGCCAUAUAUGUGUGUAUGCACUAUAUGUAUACUGUAUAUAUACUGUAUAGAUUGUAUAUACAUUCCAUACACUGCAUAUACACUACAUAUACACUGUAUACAAGGUACAGUGCAAUUGAACUGUAGAAUCCUCCCCAGCCCCUAAGCUGUAUCCUGGCAAAAUGGAGCUACUGUGGCCUCCCUAGAUGCUCAAGCCAAGUGUCUGCUAAUCCUCCUGCAUCCCCUUCCUUUCAUCCUCAACAUCAAAGCAGCUGGCCAGUGUACCCCAAACUAACUGGGGACCAGGCUAGGCACCUUUCUCUAGUAUCUAGCUGGAUGCUAUUUAACAGUGGCAAUCUACGGGUUAAAAUAGCAUUUAGGACCUGACCCUUUUGCCUACAAGACAGUGGUUGAGUUCACUGGCUGCUUUCCAGAGGACCUGGGUUCAAUCCGCAGCACCUAGAGUGUAGCUCACGACUGCCUGUGACUCCGGCUCUCUCACACCAAUGCACAUCAAACUAAAUGAGUUAUUUUUUAAGGAGUCUUGCUUAUAUUACUUUAAGUAACUCAUUUAUUUUAAAUUAUAUUUAUGAAUUGUGUGUGUGCGCGCACACACACAUGUGCACAGCAUGAGUACGGGUGGAGACAAACGCGUGUUUGCACUGCUGCCCUUGGUUCUUCCGGGGGGUCGACUCUGCAGUAUGACGGUGAGGUCAUGUGAUAAUUCCAUAUAGCAUCGUUUUAAACAAUAACUCACAUACUUCAUUCCUUUCAAACUUGUUUUAUGUAUUGGAGUGUCGGCCUGCAUGUACGUCUGUCUGUGCAUGGUGAGCAUGCAGGAGUCCACGGAGGUCAGGAGAAGGCAUUAGAUCCCCUGGAACUGGAGUCAUGGAUGGUGGUGAGAAGACCCAGGUCUUCUACAAGAGCUGUAAUCAUUCUUGAUCCCUGAGCCACCAUUUCAGCUCCUGUAGUUUAUUCCUAAUUUAACCAGUUCCUCUAGUUCCUAUAGAAGUAGCUAAUGUUACAUUGUCUAUAUAGAAUUUAAUAACAGCUUCUCCAGAUUUCUCACCAGCCCCCAUCCUCUUACUGUGUUGGCUCCUCCCUCUCCCAGGCUCUCCCACUCCCACCCCCACCCCAGGCUCCUGACUGACCACCCACUUUCCUCCUCCAGACACCUCAGGCUUCCAGGCUUAGGUCAGAUGCCCCCUGGGCCUCACUCACACUGAACAAACCCCCCACUGCCUCCUCCAGAUGCUCGGGCCUCAGCCAUGCACUAAGUUCACCGGCCUCUUCUCUGUUCCUCAUGAUGCCUCCUGCCCCAGGACGUUUGUACCAGCUAUCUCCUCCACCAGGACAUCCCCGAAUCUCUUCCCUGUGGAGUUUGUAAUUUCAGUCUCUGACAACAGAAUGACCAUCCACACCUCCCCCGCAAAAAAACCCUCAGGUACAGUUGCUACCUCACCUCUAAACAUGCUAUUGGGACGCCCCAGCUCGAGUCCAGCCCACUGAAUGAUGGGACACAAUUCCUUUUACUGGAUGGCAGUAUCCGUGGUCUCCUGAUAGAGGAACUGGUCCAAACAGGCUUGAAGGGAGCGGAAGCUCUCCCAUCACACUGAGACACCCCAGUUUAAAAAUAAUGCAGAAGCCAGGCGUGGUGGUGCACGCCUUUAAUCCCAGCACUCGGGGGCGGGGGGGGGGGGCAGAGGCAGGGGGGUUUCUGAGUUCGAGGUCAUCCUCUGCUAAGUAGUAAUUUGGGCUACAUGGGAUCAUGUUGAAAGAAAGGGAGGAAGGAAGGGAGGAGGGAGGAGAGAAGGAGGGAGGGAGAAGGAAAAGGAAAGAAGAGGAAGAGAGGGUGCAGGAAGGUUGGGAACACAGCCUGAGUGUCAUCUCACCUCUGUGACCUGCCUGCUAUGACCACCUGCAGGGUCCCCUUCAGGGAGAAACAGAGAUGAGAGAGAUGAGCAGGAGGAAGAGGAAGUGAGAUGGGAGGCAGAGAGAGGGAGAGUUUUCAGGCUGACUCACACUGUCAAUCAAGGAACUAGACAUCAGCUUUGCAGAAGAGCGAGUAGGGAGGACCUAGGACUUCUUAUCACUGGAAGCUCACCCUGGGCUCCUGUGUUAGGGAGCAACAGCCCCCCAAUCAGGAGUAGAUAAGACAUCAAUGUCUUCAGUGGGGACUGGCCUAGAGGAACUUAGACAUCUCCCCCUCCUCAUCCUUUGCCUGACAAAAGGUGCCAUGUCAACCUAAAAAGCCAAAAUGAAAAGGUCUUAGCUGCCAAGGAACUGGAAUCCCAUCCACUAGGCCUCAGCCAUGGAGUCUGCACACACAGCCUCCAAAGCCUCCUAAGACCAGGGGGUGGAGAUGGUGACUCUCUCAAAAACACCUGGACUUUCUACCUUGACCAGUGUGAUGGUUAAUCUCAAUAGUC